UACGUAGGGCGCAAGCGUUGUCCGGAAUUAUUGGGCGUAAAGAGCUCGUAGGCGGUCUGUCACGUCUGCCGUGAAAACCCGAGGCUUAACCUCGUGGCUUGCGGUGGAUACGGGCAGACUAGAGGUAGGUAGGGGGAGAACGGAAUUCCCGGUGUAGCGGUGAAAAUGCGCAGAUAUCGGGAGGAACACCGGUGGCGAAGGCGGGUCUCUGGGCAUUUCCUGACGCUGAGGCGCGAAAGCGUGGGGAGCAAACGGGG
rnacentral:rRNA from 1 species